rnacentral:tRNA from 1 species
GGAGGGCCCAUAGCUGAGUGGCAGAGCAUCUGCUCUGCAUGCAGAAAGUCCCAGGUUUCAAUCCUGGCAUCUCCU